rnacentral:rRNA from 1 species
GAUGAACGCUGGCGGCGUGCCUAAUACAUGCAAGUCGAGCGAACAGACGAGGAGCUUGCUCCUCUGACGUUAGCGGCGGACGGGUGAGUAACACGUGGAUAACCUACCUAUAAGACUGGGAUAACUUCGGGAAACCGGAGCUAAUACCGGAUAAUAUAUUGAACCGCAUGGUUCAAUAGUGAAAGACGGUUUUGCUGUCACUUAUAGAUGGAUCCGCGCCGCAUUAGCUAGUUGGUAAGGUAACGGCUUACCAAGGCAACGAUGCGUAGCCGACCUGAGAGGGUGAGCGGCCACAGGAGAACGGAGACACGCCCCAGCCCCCUAGGGGAGGCCGCAGUAGGGAUUCUUCCGCAAUGGGCGAAAGCCGGACGGAGCAACCCCGCGGGAGUGAUGAGUUUCUUCGUAUCGUAAAACUUUUUUAUUAGGAAAAAAAAAAUGUGUAAGUAAUUAUCCACGUCUGGAGGGUACCUAAACAGAAACCCACGGCAACCUGCGC